rnacentral:misc_RNA from 1 species
GCAAACUUGGUCAUUUAGAGGAAGUAAAAGUCGUAACAAGGUCUCCGUAGGUGAACCUGCGGAGGGAUCAUUACCGAGUUUACAACUCCUAAACCACUGUGAACGUACCUGUUGUUCCUUUGGCAGGCGGCCCCUGGGAGGGGCUGUAGCCUCACGGCGCCUGCCACUGGUAUAAACUCCUGCGUAUUUGAAACUCUGAGCUUCUAUAAAAUAGAAUCAAAACUUUCAACAACGGAUCUCUUGGUUCUGGCAUCGAUGAAGAACGCAGC